GUGCUUGUGGGAGCAUGGUUUGUGAUGAUGAGAAAAGAAAUUUUCCAUUUGGGAAUCUAAUACUAUCAACUACAUUUUUGGUUUUUGUUUUAUCCUGGGAUAAUGUAGUGUGUGGAUGAACACAAUGUAAUCUUUACUGGCCUCUUUCUUAUAGUUCAGACUCCAUGUUUGAACAGCUUUGGUGUUUUUAGUUUUUAUUCAUUUCUUUUUUUAAAAAAAUGAAUUAUGGGUGAUUCAGGGUUUAAUGUUGUAUCCUAAUUGUGAAAUCUGUGCUUUUGGACCUGAGCAGAUACCUUUGAAACCAUUACCUCAUCUGUUACUAGGAAGAAUGAGCUAGCAUUUACAUUCCUCCCCCCUGGCAAGUCUGAAAAGAAAUACUUUCCCCCCUUUUUGGAAUGAAGAGACUAUCUAUAAUUUUAUUUGUACCUUUAUCCACAAUACACUGUUUUUUCCAUUUGAUCCUCUUAUCAACCUUGUAGGAUCAUUAUUAUUAUUCUUACUUUGCAGUUGAGGAAACAGACUUGUUGGCAAGUGACAUAGCCAAGACUUGAAAGUUUUUUAAAAUUCAAAGCCCACAUUCAUUAUCAUAGCUACUUUAUAUCUUU
rnacentral:lncRNA from 1 species